UGUUUCGGCAAGGGGGUCAUCCCGACUUACCAACCCGAUGCAAACUGCGAAUACCGGAGAAUGUUAUCACGGGAGACACACGGCGGGUGCUAACGUCCGUCGUGAAGAGGGAAACAACCCAGACCGCCAGCUAAGGUCCCAAAGUCAUGGUUAAGUGGGAAACGAUGUGGGAAGGCCCAGACAGCCAGGAUGUUGGCUUAGAAGCAGCCAUCAUUUAAAGAAAGCGUAAUAGCUCACUGGUCGAGUCGGCCUGCGCGGAAGAUGUAACGGGGCUAAACCAUGCACCGAAGCUGCGGCAGCGACGCUUAUGCGUUGUUGGGUAGGGGAGCGUUCUGUAAGCCUGUGAAGGUGUGCUGUGAGGCAUGCUGGAGGUAUCAGAAGUGCGAAUGCUGACAUAAGUAACGAUAAAGCGGGUGAAAAGCCCGCUCGCCGGAAGACCAAGGGUUCCUGUCCAACGUUAAUCGGGGCAGGGUGAGUCGACCCCUAAGGCGAGGCCGAAAGGCGUAGUCGAUGGGAAACAGGUUAAUAUUCCUGUACUUGGUGUUACUGCGAAGGGGGGACGGAGAAGGCUAUGUUGGCCGGGCGACGGUUGUCCCGGUUUAAG
rnacentral:rRNA from 1 species